rnacentral:rRNA from 1 species
GACGAACGCUGGCGGCGUGCUUAACACAUGCAAGUCGAACGGAAAGGCCCUGCUUUUGUGGGGUGCUGGAGUGGCGAACGGGUGAGGAAGACGUGAGUAACCUGCCCUUGACUUUGGGAUAGCUUCAGGAAACUGGGGCUAAUACCGGAUAGGAUCUCCUGCUGCGUGGGGGGGGGUGGAAAGUUUAGGCGGGUGGGGAUGGACUCGCGGCUUAUCAGCUUGUUGGUGGGGUAGUGGUUUACCAAGGGUUGGACGGGUAGCCGGCCUGAGAGGGUGACCGGCCACAUUGGGACUGAGAUACGGCCCAGACUCCUACGGGAGGCAGCAGUGGGGAAUAUUGCACAAUGGGCGGAAGUCUGAUGCAGAAACGCCGCGUGCGGGAUGACGGCCUUCGGGUUGUAAACCGCUUUCGCCUGUGACGAAGCGUGACUGACGGUAAUGGGUAAAGAAGCACCGGCUAACUACGUG